rnacentral:rRNA from 1 species
UGGGGAAUAUUGGACAAUGGGCGCAAGCCUGAUCCAGCCAUGCCGCGUGAGUGAUGAAGGCCCUAGGGUUGUAAAGCUCUUUCACCGGUGAAGAUAAUGACGGUAACCGGCGAAGAAGCCCCGGCUAACUUCGUGCCAGCAGCCGCGGUAAUACGAAGGGGGCUAGCGUUGUUCGGAUUUACUGGGCGUAAAGCGCACGUAGGCGGACUUUUAAGUCAGGGGUGAAAUCCCGGGGCUCAACCCCGGAACUGCCUUUGAUACUGGAAGUCUUGAGUAUGGUAGAGGUGAGUGGAAUUCCGAGUGUAGAGGUGAAAGUCGUAGAUAUUCGGAGGAUCACCAGUGGCGAAGGCGUCUCACUGGACCAUUACUGUCGCUGAGGUGCGAAAGCGUGGGAAGCAAACAGG